rnacentral:rRNA from 1 species
CCUACGGGAGGCAGCAGUGGGGAAUAUUGCGCAAUGGGCGAAAGCCUGACGCAGCGACGCCGCGUGAGGGAUGAAGGUCUUCGGAUCGUAAACCUCUGUCAGCAGGGAAGAACGGUCACUGUGCUAAUCAGCAGUGAAUUGACGGUACCUGCAAAGGAAGCACCGGCUAACUACGUGCCAGCAGCCGCGGUAAUACGGAGGGUGCGAGCGUUAAUCGGAAUUACUGGGCGUAAAGCGCUCGUAGGCGGUAUGUCAAGUCAAGGGUGAAAUCCCCGCGCUCAACGUGGGAACUGCCUUUGAAACUGGCAAACUGGAGUGUGUGAGAGGAUAGUGGAAUUCCAGGUGUAGGAGUGAAAGCCGUAGAUAUCUGGAGGAACAUCAGUGGCGAAGGCGACUAUCUGGCACAUAACUGACGCUGAGGAGCGAAAGCGUGGGUAGCAAACAGGAUUAGAUACCCUAGUAGUC